UACCUCCACUUCUAUUAUGAGCUCCCCCUUCAGGCCUUUCCAAAGCAAAUCCAUUUGUCUGUCUGGGACCACACAGGACCAUGCCCUGCGCUUGCCAGGACCCACCCCCAGGAGUGCCAAGCAGGCCCAUAGGGGGCAGGACGUCUCCAUUGAGCGAUCCAACCAGAGGGCUGCCUCCAAGGGUCAUGAGGGUAGUGGCCCUGGCAGGUGCUCCAGGGAUCAAGAAUUGAACUUCCAAGGGGCCCUUCUCUGCACACACCCUCAGGGCUACCUGGUUAACUCCAUCAGACUAAGAGCUUCAAGGCAAAUCAGCUUGGCAUUUGGGAGACACGCCCCCACCUACACACAGCGAAGGUAGAAGCCCCUCUGGACCUGAUGUUGGCAGCAGCUGUGCCUUCUGCUCCGAGGACUUUUCCAGAAGGACAUUUCCUGGCCUUCACCCACCACCGCAUCCCUGCCUACAAAGCUCUUGUCUUCAGACGCUUCAUGGCUGAGAAGUGCCAGUGGCUUGCCUCCUUUCCUUGCCAUCCUGACCUGCUUACCCACAGGCUCUUUCUUUCUGGGGCCCUGCCUCUACCUGCCUGGUUUGGCCCAGGGGGAGAAGGGUAUCUUCUAGCUAAGCUUUGACAUCAGUAUGGAGGCAGUAGGGAAGCAGGUGAGCCCUGGGACAAUGAGCCUGUGGCCUCUUCCUGCCCCCCCCACCCCCACCCCAGUGCUGGGAGCCACCAAGGACCAGCUGGAACCAGCCUUCACUCCUUUUCCUACAUUGUGCUGGCUCUGCGGGAGAGGCGAGCCUCAGCCAUCUCUGCCCAGCACUCCUCUUUCUUGGGCAGUGGUGACUUCCAGAGGUUUCUCGGCAAGGGAGCCCCCUCAGCAAGGGACCCUCCCCGGGGUGAAGGAAGGCUGACCGUGGGGCAGGCCCAGCACGGCACCUGGCACAUGGAAGGUGCACACUGAAUGAACCCCUUCUUUCCCUCCCUGUAACUUUUUGGGAGCCCUGACCUUAGAGUGAGUUGAGGAGGUAAGAAGCCUCCCUGCCUAAAUCUGCCUCUUCCUCAGGUCUGGCUGGGGAGCUGGUGCCUCUUGUGCGCUUCUCUUCCUCUUCCAAAGGCGAGGCUUCAUGGCAGGGAUUGGGAAGCCUGGGGGGAGAGUCUAAAGGGCUUGCACGUUUUUAAAAGUAAACACAGGGUCUGGGGAUUGGGUUUUAAGACUGAGUGGAGAGCAGGGAAAAACCUGAAGGUCAGUGCCCCUGUGGGGCAGACCGGGAGAGAAUUCCCUGGACUAUUUUUUUAUCUGGCUGUCUUUCCUCUCUGGCUUCCGGGUCCUCUGCCAGGUGAGGUCCUUGGGUCCCUGUUAUAAGUCAGGAGCCCUGUAGAAAGAGCCCUCCUUUUGUACAAGUACCUGAAUGCUGCAAUGAGCAGACUUUUGUAAAAUUUUAUAUUAGUUUCUAAUGUCAAUGGUGACUCGGUUCCUGGGGGCUGCAGCCAGCCUGGGACUUUUGUAAGAAUUUUUGGGUGACUCACUUAGAUGUCGUUUCUUUCUUGUCCCCUCUUCCUCUGUGUAAUCUAAGUGCAUUAA
ensembl:lncRNA